CUGCCUGUUUGUAUGUAUGUCUUUGUAUGUAUGUGUUUGUGUGUGCCUGUCUGUGUAUGUAUGUGUGUAUGUCUGUGUGUGUCUGCCUGUAUGUGUGUGUGCUUGUCUGUCUGUAUGUGUCUUCCUGUGUGUAUGUGUGCCUGUCUGUUUUUUUAAUGUAUGUGUCUUUGUAUGUAUGUGUGUGUGUGUCUGUAUGUGUGCCUGUCUGUUUGUAUGUAUG